GAUGAACGCUAGCUACAGGCUUAUCACAUGCAAGUCGAGGGGAAACGGCAUUAAGUGCUUGCACUUUUUGGACGUCGACCGGCGCACGGGUGAGUAACGCGUAUCCAACCUUCCCAUGACUAAGGGAUAACCUGCCGAAAGGCAGACUAAUACCUUAUGGUCUUCACUGACGGCAUCAGAUGUGAAGUAAAGAUUUAUCGGUUAUGGAUGGGGAUGCGUCUGAUUAGCUUGUUGGCGGGGUAACGGCCCACCAAGGCAACGAUCAGUAGGGGUUCUGAGAGGAAGGUCCCCCACAUUGGAACUGAGACACGGUCCAAACUCCUACGGGAGGCAGCAGUGAGGAAUAUUGGUCAAUGGGCGAGAGCCUGAACCAGCCAAGUAGCGUGCAGGAUGACGGCCCUAUGGGUUGUAAACUGCUUUUGUAUGGGGAUAAAGUCAAUCACGUGUGAUUGUUUGCAGGUACCAUACGAAUAAGGACCGGCUAAUUCCGUG
rnacentral:rRNA from 1 species